CUCAGGCAUAGCCGCGGUCGCCGAGUUAAGGCCUUAGCUUGUGCGCGCGCGUGUCACGUAGCAACCGGCCGCGUGGACGCUCGGCGACCGCCGCCGCGACGGUGAGCUGACGCGCGAGUGUUUCGGGCGGUGUGCGGGUGUGGACCGUGCGGGGCUGAGACCGGUUCUUGGGAGUCGGCGUCGGCAGCGGGGUCCCGGGCGGCGUUGGCUCUGGGGUCUGCGCCGCGGCGUCUCGACCCGGCGGUUCUGAAGCGGGUUCUUGGGCGUGUCGGCGUCGGCAGCGGGUUCCCGGCGGCGGGGGCGGGUCUGGGGUCUUCGCCUCGGCGUCUCGAACCAGUGGUUCUGAGGAGGGUUCUUGGUAGUCGGCGUCGGCAGCGGGGUCCCGGAUGGCCGGGCUGUCUGUCCUCAGUUGGAGGAAACCGGCCAGGCCUCCAUCAACCCGUGGGACAUAUGCCUUCCUGCAAAGGGGAUGCCCCGAGGUGAGGCCACCGUGUGUAGCUGGGCAGUCCCUGAAGGAGCCGGGAGUCGACACUGCCUCCCGAAGGCACCCUUGUCAGCCGGGGACACAGGGCCUUCCCUGGAAAGAGGUGCAGGUGAUACUUGCCAUUGUCACCAAACUCAUCCCCAUCGCAGUUUCUAUAUUAUAGAUUCUGAGCGUGUGAGUGUCUUCAAGGUGGUGGAAACUGUGUAAGUGCACAUCGGUGUUGUGAAUAUCGUGAAUGUUUGUACGAGCAUGGAGUUUUUGUGUGUGAAGUUGGGGAGUGUGUAGGUUUGCGCUUGUGUCUGGGCGGGGGGGGGGUUGGAUGGCCCUCACAUGUUGUGCUGAGGAUUGUGGGGGGUCCCAAGCUGGUAGAUGUAUUAAGAACCAGUCUUGUAUUAAGACCGCCUUCAGCAGGUCAUACCCACGCAGCCUCAGCAGGGAGCUCCCUCAGCACCUGAGCAACACCGGGGGGAAGUGAAAAGCACAGGGUGGUUUGAUCGAACGCACAGUUUCAGCACACCCCCCUCCCUCCAAGGAAGGAGAGUCACAAGAUUUACUUCCAGGUCCCUGUAACAGGCGUGCAGUGGGCCAGGGGAAGGGCAGUUGUCCAUCUUGGGUCACAGCCAGCAGACGUAGAGUGCAGGGUAGCAAGCACCCAGUACUGCCAGGUGGUUGGGGUGGAGGUUGCUCGCUUUUCCCGGGCUCAGCUCUGGAGGGUUACUUUCCAAGGUGCCCUAGGAAAAGCAGAGUGGGAGCUUGGGGUGCGAAUUCUAAGCUCAGGCCCUUAUCGAAAUGUCCAGACUGGGUGUGAGCAGGCUGUCCUGCUGUAGUCACGCGGGCAGCACCUCACGAGGGCGGUUUCUCAUUGUGAGACUGGAGCUCUGUACGCGUGUGUGCCAGUGACGUGAGGGUGUGUAUGCGCUGGGGUUGUGUGAAUUCCUGUGAAUAUUCAGGGUGUUUGCAGGAAGUUUGUGUGGUGUGUUGAAUGUAUAUAGUACAGGCUGAGUUGUGUGUGAAUUCAGUGUUUAGUGAGUCAUCUUUUUCUUUAAAAACUUAUUUAAAUUCUGGCUAGUUAACAUGCAGUGCAAUAUUGGUUUCAGGAGUAGAAUUCAGUGAUUCAUCCCUUAUGUCUAACACCCAGGGCUCAUCCAAAGUGCCCUCCUUAA
ensembl:lncRNA